AUUGAACGCUGGCGGCAGGCCUAACACAUGCAAGUCGAGCGGAUGAAGGGAGCUUGCUCCUGGAUUCAGCGGCGGACGGGUGAGUAAUGCCUAGGAAUCUGCCUGGUAGUGGGGGAUAACGUCCGGAAACGGGCGCUAAUACCGCAUACGUCCUGAGGGAGAAAGUGGGGGAUCUUCGGACCUCACGCUAUCAGAUGAGCCUAGGUCGGAUUAGCUAGUUGGUGGGGUAAAGGCCUACCAAGGCGACGAUCCGUAACUGGUCUGAGAGGAUGAUCAGUCACACUGGAACUGAGACACGGUCCAGACUCCUACCGGAGGCAGCAGUGGGGAAUAUUGGACAAUGGGCGAAAGCCUGAUCCAGCCAUGCCGCGUGUGUGAAGAAGGUCUUCGGAUUGUAAAGCACUUUAAGUUGGGAGGAAGGGCAAUAAGUUAAUACCUUGCUGUUUUGACGUUACCAACAGAAUAAGCACCGGCUAACUUCGUG
rnacentral:rRNA from 1 species